GCACGUUGAAAGCCGUUUAAGAGUUCAAAAUCGGAAAAACGUGAAAAGUAGCCAAAAUCAGGUGGGGGUGGGCAUCUUUUGUUGGCCACUUCUUAACUGGUAGUCAUUGUUGAUAUAGACUAUUAUCGUAAAUGCAUGCAUAGGUGGUAUAGGAACACAAAGAGGUAUAAUAUGGCCAAUAGGAAUCUAGUCUGUAAAAUCUAGGUCACCGUUUUGUCAAAAAUCCGUAAAAACGGACAUUUAGGCAGACCUGACUUGACGAUAAUA
rnacentral:lncRNA from 1 species